AGAAGGAAAAUUCAUCAGGUGAGAUAUCUUUGUGUUUUGUUUUUGGUGCUCUGAUGUUUCGUUUCUCACACUUCUUUUCUUUUCUUGAACAGAAACCAUUGUCCAGAUAAAUCCUGAAAACAUGAAGGCUGUGAUUGUUGCUUGUGUUGUUUUGUUGGCUGUCAGCCAGAGUGAAGCAUUGAAUUGUUACUGUGGAGGUCUGCAGAACUGUGGAGGCACCCAGGAUCACUGCACUGGUAGAAGCUGGGUUUGUGCCAAAGUGAUCAAUAUUGUUGGAUCCAAUCCUAACUUCUUGCAGGGCUGCAUGACAUCAACUGACUGCAUGAUGUUGAAUCGUCCGGGUUUAUCCUCUUCCACUUGCUGCAGCACUCAUUUGUGCAACAGAUAAACUAUUAUCAGCAUCUCGACCCACAUGAGAAAUAACCUCUGAGAAAUAAUAAGCAGCUGUCUUGUAGUGUGUGUUCUGGUAUACACAUAAUAAAGAGAAUGUGUUUCUAA